rnacentral:rRNA from 1 species
UACGUAGGUGGCGAGCGUUGUCCGGAAUUACUGGGUGUAAAGGGCGUGUAGGCGGGGAAGCAAGUCAGAUGUGAAAUCCCGGGGCUCAACUCGGGAGUUGCAUCUGAAACUGUUUUUCUUGAGUGCUGGAGAGGAAAGCGGAAUUCCUAGUGUAGCGGUGAAAUGCGUAGAUAUUAGGAGGAACACCAGUGGCGAAGGCGGCUUUCUGGACAGUAACUGACGCUGAGGCGCGAAAGCGUGGGGAGCAAACAGGAUUAGAUACCCUGGUAGU